UCCCUCUCUCCGGGGUCCAGGGUGAGGUGCGGCCCCCGUCUCCCUCUCUCCUGGGUCCAGGGUGAGGUGCGGCCCCCGUCUCCCUCUCUCCUGGGUCCAGGGUGAGGUGAGGCCCCCGUCUCCCUCUCUCCGGGGUCCAGGGUGAGGUGCGGCCCCCGUCUCCCUCUCUCCUGGGUCCAGGGUGAGGUGCGGCCCCCGUCUCCCUCUCUCCUGGGUCCAGGGUGAGGUGAGGCCCCCGUCUCCCUCUCUCCGGGGUCCAGGGUGAGGUGCGGCCCCCGUCUCCCUCUCUCCUGGGUCCAGGGUGAGGUGCGGCCCCCGUCUCCCUCUCUCCUGGGUCCAGGGUGAGGUGCGGCCCCCGUCUCCCUCUCUCCUGGGUCCAGGGUGAGGUGAGGCCCCCGUCUCCCUCUCUCCGGGGUCCAGGGUGAGGUGCGGCCCCCGUCUCCCUCUCUCCUGGGUCCAGGGUGAGGUGCGGCCCCCGUCUCCCUCUCUCCUGGGUCACAGUGAGGUGAGGCCCCCGUCUCCCUCUCUCCGGGGUCCAGGGUGAGGUGCGGCCCCCGUCUCCCUCUCUCCUGGGUCCAGGGUGAGGUGCGGCCCCCGUCUCCCUCUCUCCUGGGUCCAGGGUGAGGUGCGGCCCCCGUCUCCCUCUCUCCUGGGUCCAGGGUGAGGUGAGGCCCCCGUCUCCCUCUCUCCUGGGUCCAGGGUGAGGUGCGGCCCCCGUCUCCCUCUCUCCUGGGUCCAGGGUGAGGUGCGGCCCCCGUCUCCCUCUCUCCUGGGUCCAGGGUGAGGUGAGGCCCCCGUCUCCCUCUCUCCGGGGUCCAGGGUGAGGUGCGGCCCCCGUCUCCCUCUCUCCUGGGUCCAGGGUGAGGUGCGGCCCCCGUCUCCCUCUCUCCUGGGUCCAGGGUGAGGUGAGGCCCCCGUCUCCCUCUCUCCGGGGUCCAGGGUGAGGUGCGGCCCCCGUCUCCCUCUCUCCUGGGUCCAGGGUGAGGUGAGGCCCCCGUCUCCCUCUCUCCUGGGUCACAGUGAGGUGAGGCUCCCGUCUCCCUCUCUCCUGGGUCACAGUGCGGUGAGGCUCUGCUGAUCACUCCAGGGACUGGCACAGCCUGUGCAAGAUUCCAGAAAAGCUGGGAGGACAGCACCUGGAGUCCUGCA